rfam:Hebeloma cylindrosporum h7 unplaced genomic scaffold scaffold_17, whole genome shotgun sequence.
CCUUCGAUAGCUCAGUUGGAAGAGCGUGGGACUGUAAACGGAUGCUUAGUCAGCAAUGCUUAGUCAGCCAUAUCCCGAGGCCAUCGGUUCGAUCCCGAUUCGAAGGA